GUAGGUGGCAAGCGUUGUCCGGAAUUAUUGGGCGUAAAGCGCGCGCAGGCGGUUCUUUAAGUCUGAUGUGAAAGCCCACGGCUCAACCGUGGAGGGUCAUUGGAAACUGGAGAACUUGAGUACAGAAGAGGAAAGCGGAAUUCCACGUGUAGCGGUGAAAUGCGUAGAGAUGUGGAGGAACACCAGUGGCGAAGGCGGCUUUCUGGUCUGUAACUGACGCUGAGGCCCGAAAGCGUGGGGAGCAAACAGGGAUUAGAUACCCUGGUAGUCCACGCCGUAAACGAUGAGUGCUAAGUGUUAGGGGGUUUCCGCCCCCUUAGUGCUGCAGCUAACGCAUUAAGCACUCCGCCUGGGGAGUACGGCCGCAAGGCUG
rnacentral:rRNA from 1 species